ACCUACGGGAGGCAGCAGUAGGGAAUUUUCGUCAAUGGGCGCAAGCCUGAACGAGCGAUGCCGCGUGAGUGAAGAAGGCCUUCGGGUCGUAAAGCUCUUUUGUCAGGGAGCAAGAACGGAUACGUGUAUCCGAGCGAGAGUACCUGAAGAAAAAGCAUCGGCUAACUCCGUGCCAGCAGCCGCGGUAAUACGGAGGAUGCGAGCGUUAUCCGGAUUUAUUGGGUUUAAAGGGUGCGUAGGCGGGCUGCCAAGUCAGCGGUAAAAUUGCGGGGCUCAACCCCGUCGAGCCGUUGAAACUGGCGGUC
rnacentral:rRNA from 1 species